GCAGCUUUAGCUCACUUGGGAGAGCGCCAGACUGAAGUUCCACUUCAGUUCUCCGAUGCGCGAGCAAUUCUUGCGCAUCAGCCACUUCUACUGUGCGGUAUCUGGAGGUACUGUGUUCGAUCCACAGAAGCUGCA